ACGUCGUCGGCGGAGAGAGCCCCGAGCCGUGGCUCGAGAUGUCGCCAGAGUCCUGAUCCGUGGCCCAGAUCACCGGGUUCCGGUAGCGCCGUCAGAGUAUGCAGUAAAUGCGUUUAGGUUGGCCGCUUGGUGCUUGGGCAGAUAAGUCGGGUUAGGUAUUCUUCCCAGGCGGCGGGACGGCGGCGAAAUCUACUGCGACGACGGUGGCUGCGCUAUCCAGGAAGCUCGGAAGUUCACCGGCGGGCAUGGAGUUCCUGAUGCAACCUAUAAACAGAACACUGCUAGAGGAGGUGAACGAAAAUAACAGCAAUAUGGAGCCGAUGCGGUUCCCGGUGAGCGCGCCGACAGAGGUUGAGCUGCCAGCCCAGGCAGCUUCAAGUGCGGACGGCCAGAACUGCCCUGAAGACGCCGCUGCAGAGGCAAGAAGUGCAAGCAAGGCUCAGUGUUCAGAGCAAUUGAUAGAACAAUUGGACCCAAAAACCCCAGGCUGGACACAAAGAGUGUGUGUGGGUGCUGCUGCUCCAGGCAGGGCUCCUCGUGCAGACAGGGUGACAGCGUUCGAAAAGACCGUUCGACAAUUUGCAGAGGAUCUAGGGGACAUUGUCAUAGUUCCAAAAGAUAGGAACAAGUUUGGACAGUCUUGGUGAAGCCUACGACUUUUAAAAUUUAUAUUCGUGAGAGAAAGGAUUUGGCGUUAGAUAUGGAAAGAGCGGGCUGAAUGUGAACCAGACGAAGUGCAUGCAAGAGAUAGUGUGUGGAUGUGCGGGGAAGCCAAUCGUUGAAAAUACACGGUCUUGUCGCUGUCAAUGUCCGGCACUCAUAAGACUGUUGUGCUCCAAGGAUAAUGGGUGGUACAUAGCUGAGCAUCGGGAUAUGCACAACCAUGCAUUGUCGCACACGUAUGGACAGACACUGUGUUGGUCAUCACACAAACAUAUUGAUUAGUACAGUAGGAACCUUGUGAAGCAGCUAAGUCAAAAUAAUGUCAAUCUUGCCAAGGUGUACAGCAUUAUCAGUAGCUUAUUUAGGAAGAUGGAGAAUGUACCUUUCACGAAGAGAGCUUUGCGGGAAUCUGUGCAGAAAGAUAAGCCGUGGUCAGUCUGAGGAUGAUGUGAGGAAAACAAUGGAAGUAUUUCAGAGCUGUGUGCAAAGGACCUGCAGUUCACAUAUCGAGUUCAAGCUAACAAUGAGGGCAGAAUCAGCACUCUGAUGUGGGCUACUGGCAACAGCCGACCGCAAUACAGUUUCUUUGGUGAUGUUGUUACAUUUGAUACAACCUACCGGGCGAACCUCUAUGACAUGCCUUUUGGUUUAUUUGAGGGGGUGAACAAUCACUUUCAGAGCAUUAUCCUUGCGGGAGUGUUGGUUCAAAGUGAGACAGUUGAAACAUUUGAGUUAUUAGGAUAAUGGGUGGCAAUGCACCACAAACAAUCCUGACAAGUAAUCAAAAAGUGAAUUGAUAUUAGCUCAAUUUCGGUGCAGUGGAAUGAUGUAAAUCCUGAAAAUCUAAUACACAUCAACUUCAAACUUGUGCUGAUCAAAACAAGGCUAUGGAGGUUGCCAUAAAGAAUGUGAUGCCUGGCAAGCUCACCGACGGUGCAAAUGGCAUGUGCGAAAGAAGGCAAAAGAGUGACUUGGUCUGUUGUACUCAAAAAAUAGUGAUUUCUGUCCAGAGUACCACAAGGUUGUUAAUCACAUGUUAACCAUAGAUGAGUUUGAGGAAGGCUGGAAGUACCUCAUAGAGAAAUACAACCUGAAGAGCCACGAUUAUAUGACAAAUUUGUACGAGAUAAGGCCCAAGUGUGUGAAGCCAUACUUCAAGGGAGUCUUCUGUGCAAAGAUGAGUAGUACGCAACGGAGUGAAAGUGCUAACCACAUGCUGAAGAACUAUGUGCCUCUUGGAAGCCCAAUGCAUAUCUUUGUCAGGAAGUAUAUGAGCUUAAUAUUUGACUGGGAAGCAGAAGAGAAUUAUGAGGAGAAGCGGACAACAAUAGGGAGGCCACUAAUGCGAGCAAAUUUGGCUACCGAGAGGCAUGCUGGGAAAAUAUAAACUGGGGCUAUGUUCGAGCAAUUCGGACAUAUAUUGUAUGAGUGUGGUGCAUAUCAGGUGGAGGAGAUCGAUAAAGGUGUUGGAGGGUGGCGAGUAUGUACAAAUGGGGGUUGCGUCCAACCACAUGGAGUAGCUCACAACCAUUCAAAGGUGUGAGAGUCCUAAUGGCAGAUUCAGAAGGGUCUGGGACUGCAUCUUCCUUGACCGGGACUAAAGAAUGCUCAGAGGCGUGCUAUGGUCUGAAUCAGGAAAAUUGCAAGAGGCUGUGUUGGAUCCCCAACUAUAAAGAGGAUGGACGAGGAGAAGUGCUGGAGAAGAUUGGGACCUGCCAACCGUGGGGCCAUAAAUGAGCACAACGGCUCAGUUGGAACAUAAUGUACUACGAUGGAACGGUCCAAUCCGUCAUCCUCCGUCUGAUCCGUCACGUUGCUAACUCACGAAGUGAACUGAGCAGUGGGCCAGGUCCUAUUUCGCUGAAAAGCAGGCAGGAGCAUAUACCUGAUACUAUACAGACUGCAGCACACAUCACAAGAUAUAUAAAUGGUCCUGAUUCCGAGACCCUGUGAGCUUGGGCUCACAUAAGCAUUUUCGCGUUGCAUGCUACUUUUGUUUGGAAACUUGAGUAGAGAAAGCUUAGUAGAGGGUCGAUGUUGCAUCGGUAAAAUUAUAAUCAGGAGCAUGUUGAUUAAAUAUUUCAACCCUGGUGGAUUAACCAGUUUGUGAAUUGUAGAUUAUUUUGUUGCAGCAAAACAUGUGCAUAAUACUAAAUCUGUAUGUAUAUAUAUAUAUAUUUGAACAUCAUAACUUCUAAUAGUAGACAUUGUAAUUUGUAAGGCUGAUAUUUACACAUUUUAA